rnacentral:rRNA from 1 species
GACGAACGCUGGCGGCGUGCCUAAUACAUGCAAGUAGAACGCUGAAGGAGGAGCUUGCUUCUCUGGAUGAGUUGCGAACGGGUGAGUAACGCGUAGGUAACCUGCCUGGUAGCGGGGGAUAACUAUUGGAAACGAUAGCUAAUACCGCAUAAUAGCAGUUAUUGCAUGAUAACUGUUUGAAAGGUGCAAUUGCACCACUAUCAGAUGGACCUGCGUUGUAUUAGCUAGUUGGUGGGGUAACGGCUCACCAAGGCGACGAUACAUAGCCGACCUGAGAGGGUGAUCGGCCACACUGGGACUGAGACACGGCCCAGACUCCUACGGGAGGCAGCAGUAGGGAAUCUUCGGCAAUGGACGGAAGUCUGACCGAGCAACGCCGCGUGAGUGAAGAAGGUUUUCGGAUCGUAAAGCUCUGUUGUAAGAGAAGAACGAGUGUGAGAGUGGAAAGUUCACACUGUGACGGUAUCUUACCAGAAAGGGACGGCUAACUACGUG